ACGGUGCAGUCUAGCGGAUGAGGGAGCUUGCUCCUGGAUUCAGCGGCGGACGGGUGAGUAAUGCCUAGGAAUCUGCCCAAUAGUGGGGGAUAACGUUCCGAAAGGAACGCUAAUACCGCAUACGUCCUACGGGAGAAAGCAGGGGACCUUCGGGCCUUGCGCUAUUGGAUGAGCCUAGGUCGGAUUAGCUAGUUGGUGAGGUAAAGGCUCACCAAGGCGACGAUCCGUAGCUGGUCUGAGAGGAUGAUCAGCCACACUGGAACUGAGACACGGUCCAGACUCCUACGGGAGGCAGCAGUGGGGAAUAUUGGACAAUGGGCGAAAGCCUGAUCCAGCCAUGCCGCGUGUGUGAAGAAGGUCUUCGGAUUGUAAAGCACUUUAAGUUGGGAGGAAGGGUUUCUGGCUAAUAUCCAGGAAUUUUGACGUUACCGACAGAAUAAGCACCGGCUAACUUCGUGCCAGCAGCCGCGGUAAUACGAAGGGUGCAAGCGUUAAUCGGAAUUACUGGGCGUAAAGCGCGCGUAGGUGGUUCGUUAAGUUGGAUGUGAAAGCCCCGGGCUCAACCUGGGAACUGCAUCCAAACUGGCGAGCUAGAGUAUGGCAGAGGGUGGUGGAAUUUCCUGUGUAGCGGUGAAAUGCGUAGAUAUAGGAAGGAACACCAGUGGCCGAA
rnacentral:rRNA from 1 species